ACGAACGCUGGCGGCGUGCCUAACACAUGCAAGUCGAGCGGGAUUUAUUUCGGAGAUUCGGUUGAAGGAAAUAGAUGAGAGCGGCGGACGGGUGAGUAACGCGUGAGCAAUCUGCCCUGUGAGGGGGAUAGCCUCUGGAAACGGAGAUUAAUACCGCAUAACACUGAUUUAUCGCAUGACUAAUCAGUCAAAACUACGGUGCCACAGGAUGAGCUCGCGUCUCAUUAGCUAGUUGGUGGGGUAAAGGCCUACCAAGGCGACGAUGAGUAGCCGACCUGAGAGGGUGAUCGGCCACACUGGAACUGAGACACGGUCCAGACUCCUACGGGAGGCAGCAGUGGGGAAUAUUGCGCAAUGGGGGAAACCCUGAACCGCAGCAACGCCGCGUGAGUGAUGAAGGCUUUCGAGUCGUAAAACUCUGUCUUCGGGGACGAAUAAUGACGGUACCCGAGGAGGAAGCCCCGGCUAACUACGUGCCAGCAGCCGC
rnacentral:rRNA from 1 species